rnacentral:rRNA from 1 species
GACGAACCGUGCGAACGUUGUUCGGAAUCACUGGGCUUAAAGGGCGCGUAGGCGGGCACUCAAGUCGGUGGUGAAAUCCUCCGGCCUAACCGGAGAAGAGCUGUCGAUACUGGGUGCCUCGAGUGGUGCAGGGGUCUGCGGAACUUCGGGUGGAGCGGUGAAAUGCGUAGAGAUCGGAAAGAACACCAACGGCGAAAGCACUCUGCUGGGCCGACACUGACACUGAGAGACGAAAGCUAGGGGAGCGAAUGGG